rnacentral:rRNA from 1 species
GGGUUGUGAGGUUAAGCGACUAAGCGUACACGGUGGAUGCCCUGGCAGUCAGAGGCGAUGAAGGACGUGCUAAUCUGCGAUAAGCGUCGGUAAGGUGAUAUGAACCGUUAUAACCGGCGAUUUCCGAAUGGGGAAACCCAGUGUGAUUCGUCACACUAUCAUUAACUGAAUCCAUAGGUUAAUGAGGCGAACCGGGGGAACUGAAACAUCUAAGUACCCCGAGGAAAAGAAAUCAACCGAGAUUCCCCCAGUAGCGGCGAGCGAACGGGGAGCAGCCCAGAGCCUGAAUCAGUGUGUGUGUUAGUGGAAGCGUCUGGAAAGGCGCGCGAUACAGGGUGACAGCCCCGUACACAAAAAUGCACAUGCUGUGAGCUCGAUGAGUAGGGCGGGACACGUGGUAUCCUGUCUGAAUAUGGGGGGACCAUCCUCCAAGGCUAAAUACUCCUGACUGACCGAUAGUGAACCAGUACCGUGAGGGAAAGGCGAAAAGAACCCCGGCGAGGGGAGUGAAAAAGAACCUGAAACCGUGUACGUACAAGCAGUGGGAGCACGCUUAGGCGUGUGACUGCGUACCUUUUGUAUAAUGGGUCAGCGACUUAUAUUCUGUAGCAAGGUUAACCGAAUAGGGGAGCCGAAGGGAAACCGAGUCUUAACUGGGCGUUAAGUUGCAGGGUAUAGACCCGAAACCCGGUGAUCUAGCCAUGGGCAGGUUGAAGGUUGGGUAACACUAACUGGAGGACCGAACCGACUAAUGUUGAAAAAUUAGCGGAUGACUUGUGGCUGGGGGUGAAAGGCCAAUCAAACCGGGAGAUAGCUGGUUCUCCCCGAAAGCUAUUUAGGUAGCGCCUCGUGAAUUCAUCUCCGGGGGUAGAGCACUGUUUCGGCAAGGGGGUCAUCCCGACUUACCAACCCGAUGCAAACUGCGAAUACCGGAGAAUGUUAUCACGGGAGACACACGGCGGGUGCUAACGUCCGUCGUGAAGAGGGAAACAACCCAGACCGCCAGCUAAGGUCCCAAAGUCAUGGUUAAGUGGGAAACGAUGUGGGAAGGCCCAGACAGCCAGGAUGUUGGCUUAGAAGCAGCCAUCAUUUAAAGAAAGCGUAAUAGCUCACUGGUCGAGUCGGCCUGCGCGGAAGAUGUAACGGGGCUAAACCAUGCACCGAAGCUGCGGCAGCGACGCUUAUGCGUUGUUGGGUAGGGGAGCGUUCUGUAAGCCUGCGAAGGUGUGCUGUGAGGCAUGCUGGAGGUAUCAGAAGUGCGAAUGCUGACAUAAGUAACGAUAAAGCGGGUGAAAAGCCCGCUCGCCGGAAGACCAAGGGUUCCUGUCCAACGUUAAUCGGGGCAGGGUGAGUCGACCCCUAAGGCGAGGCCGAAAGGCGUAGUCGAUGGGAAACAGGUUAAUAUUCCUGUACUUGGUGUUACUGCGAAGGGGGGACGGAGAAGGCUAUGUUGGCCGGGCGACGGUUGUCCCGGUUUAAGCGUGUAGGCUGGUUUUCCAGGCAAAUCCGGAAAACUAAGGCUGAGGCGUGAUGACGAGGCACUACGGUGCUGAAGCAACAAAUGCCCUGCUUCCAGGAAAAGCCUCUAAGCAUCAGGUAACAUCAAAUCGUACCCCAAACCGACACAGGUGGUCAGGUAGAGAAUACCAAGGCGCUUGAGAGAACUCGGGUGAAGGAACUAGGCAAAAUGGUGCCGUAACUUCGGGAGAAGGCACGCUGAUAUGUAGGUGAAGUCCCUCGCGGAUGGAGCUGAAAUCAGUCGAAGAUACCAGCUGGCUGCAACUGUUUAUUAAAAACACAGCACUGUGCAAACACGAAAGUGGACGUAUACGGUGUGACGCCUGCCCGGUGCCGGAAGGUUAAUUGAUGGGGUCAGCGCAAGCGAAGCUCUUGAUCGAAGCCCCGGUAAACGGCGGCCGUAACUAUAACGGUCCUAAGGUAGCGAAAUUCCUUGUCGGGUAAGUUCCGACCUGCACGAAUGGCGUAAUGAUGGCCAGGCUGUCUCCACCCGAGACUCAGUGAAAUUGAACUCGCUGUGAAGAUGCAGUGUACCCGCGGCAAGACGGAAAGACCCCGUGAACCUUUACUAUAGCUUGACACUGAACAUUGAGCCUUGAUGUGUAGGAUAGGUGGGAGGCUUUGAAGUGUGGACGCCAGUCUGCAUGGAGCCGACCUUGAAAUACCACCCUUUAAUGUUUGAUGUUCUAACGUUGACCCGUGAUCCGGGUUGCGGACAGUGUCUGGUGGGUAGUUUGACUGGGGCGGUCUCCUCCUAAAGAGUAACGGAGGAGCACGAAGGUUGGCUAAUCCUGGUCGGACAUCAGGAGGUUAGUGCAAUGGCAUAAGCCAGCUUGACUGCGAGCGUGACGGCGCGAGCAGGUGCGAAAGCAGGUCAUAGUGAUCCGGUGGUUCUGAAUGGAAGGGCCAUCGCUCAACGGAUAAAAGGUACUCCGGGGAUAACAGGCUGAUACCGCCCAAGAGUUCAUAUCGACGGCGGUGUUUGGCACCUCGAUGUCGGCUCAUCACAUCCUGGGGCUGAAGUAGGUCCCAAGGGUAUGGCUGUUCGCCAUUUAAAGUGGUACGCGAGCUGGGUUUAGAACGUCGUGAGACAGUUCGGUCCCUAUCUGCCGUGGGCGCUGGAGAACUGAGGGGGGCUGCUCCUAGUACGAGAGGACCGGAGUGGACGCAUCACUGGUGUUCGGGUUGUCAUGCCAAUGGCACUGCCCGGUAGCUAAAUGCGGAAGAGAUAAGUGCUGAAAGCAUCUAAGCACGAAACUUGCCCCGAGAUGAGUUCUCCCUGACUCCUUGAGAGUCCUGAAGGAACGUUGAAGACGACGACGUUGAUAGGCCGGGAUGUGUAAGCGCAGCGAUGCGUUGAGCUAACCGGUACUAAUGAACCGUGAGGCUUAACCUUACAACGCCGAAGGUGUUU